rnacentral:misc_RNA from 1 species
UACGGAGGGUGCGAACGUUAAUCGGAAUUACUGGGCGUAAAGCGCGCGCAGGCGGUUUGAUAAGUGGGAUGUGAAAGCCACGGGCUCAACCUGGGAACUGCAUUCCAAACUGUCAGGCUAGAGUAUGGUAGAGGGAGGUGGAAUUUCCUGUGUAGCGGUGAAAUGCGUAGAUAUAGGAAGGAACACCAGUGGCGAAGGCGGCCUCCUGGACCAAUACUGACGCUGAGGUGCGAAAGCGUGGGGAGCAAACAGG